rnacentral:rRNA from 1 species
UCUACGGGAGGCAGCAGUGAGGAAUAUUGGUCAAUGGACGCAAGUCUGAACCAGCCACGUCGCGUGAAGGAAGACGGCCCUACGGGUUGUAAACUUCUUUUGUAAGGGAAUAAAGUGAUUCACGUGUGUUUCAUUGCAUGUACCUUACGAAUAAGGAUCGGCUAACUCCGUGCCAGCAGCCGCGGUAAUA